rnacentral:rRNA from 1 species
UUUGUAGAGGAUGCUUCGGGCGUGGCCGCGGUCUAAGUCCCCUGGAACGGGGCGUCGCAGAGGGUGAGAAUCCCGUCUUCGGCCGGCCGGCCCCGCCCGUGUGAAGCUCCUUCGACGAGUCGAGUUGUUUGGGAAUGCAGCUCUAAAUGGGUGGUAAAUUUCAUCUAAAGCUAAAUACUGGUCGGAGACCGAUAGCGCACAAGUAGAGUGAUCGAAAGAUGAAAAGCACUUUGAAAAGAGAGUUAAACAGCAUGUGAAAUUGUUGAAAGGGAAGCGCUUGCGACCAGAGUCGGCCGCGGGGGCUCAGCGGGCACUCGUUGCCCGUGCACUCCCCCGUGGUCGGGCCAGCGUCGGUUUCGACGGCCGGUCAAAGGCCCCCGGAAUGUGUCGCCUCUCGGGGCGUCUUAUAGCCGGGGGUGCAAUGCGGCCAGUCGGGACCGAGGAACGCGCUCCGGCACGGACGCUGGCUUAAUGGUCGUAAGCGACCCGUCUUGAAACACGGACCAAGGAGUCUAACAUCCACGCGAGUGUUCGGGUGUCAAACCCGUCCGCGCAGUGAAAGCGAACGGAGGUGGGAACCCUCAAGGGUGCACCAUCGACCGAUCCUG